AGGAAGUAAAAGUCGUAACAAGGUUUCCGUAGGUGAACCUGCGGAAGGAUCAUUAGAAUGAGAUCGGUGGGUUAACCGCCCGCCAACCUCCACCCUUGUGUAUUAUCAACUUGUUGCUUUGGUGGGCCGCGAGCCUAACGGCGAGCACCGGCUUCGGCUGGGGAGUGCCUGCCAGAGGACCCAACUCUGUAUUAUCGUGACAUCUGAGUACUAUAUAAUAGUUAAAACUUUCAACAACGGAUCUCUUGGUUCUGGCAUCGAUGAAGAACGCAGCGAAAUGCGAUAAGUAAUGUGAAUUGCAGAAUUCAGUGAAUCAUCGAAUCUUUGAACGCACAUUGCGCCCUCUGGCAUUCCGGGGGGCAUGCCUGUUCGAGCGUCAUUAUGACCAAUCACGCAAGUGGUAUUGGGGUUUGCUAUCGGCAUCCCUUAAAAUCAGUGGCAGUGCUAUAGGCUCUCAGCGUAGUAAUUAUUCCGCUCUUGAACCCUAGAAACCACCCGCCAAAACCCCAACUUUCUUAGGUUGACCUCGGAUCAGGUAGGGAUACCCGCUGAACUUAAGCAUAUCAAUA
rnacentral:rRNA from 1 species